rnacentral:rRNA from 1 species
UGGGGAAUCUUGCGCAAUGGGCGAAAGCCUGACGCAGCCAUGCCGCGUGAAUGAUGAAGGUCUUAGGAUUGUAAAAUUCUUUCAGUAGGGACGAUAAUGACGGUACCUACAGAAGAAGCCCCGGCUAACUUCGUGCCAGCAGCCGCGGUAAUACGAAGGGGGCUAGCGUUGCUCGGAAUUACUGGGCGUAAAGGGAGCGUAGGCGGACAUUUAAGUCAGGGGUGAAAUCCCAGAGCUCAACUCUGGAACUGCCUUUGAUACUGGGUGUCUUGAGUGUGAUAGAGGUAUGUGGAACUCCGAGUGUAGAGGUGAAAUUCGUAGAUAUUCGGAAGAACACCAGUGGCGAAGGCGACAUACUGGAUCAUUACUGACGCUGAGGCUCGAAAGCGUGGGGAGCAAACA